rnacentral:rRNA from 1 species
CGGGACGGGUGAGUAACGCGUGGAUAACCUGCCUCACACUGGGGGAUAACAGUUAGAAAUGGCUGCUAAUACCGCAUAAGCGCACAGUACCGCAUGGUACGGUGUGAAAAACCCAGGUGGUGUGAGAUGGAUCCGCGUCUGAUUAGCCAGUUGGCGGGGUAACGGCCCACCAAAGCGACGAUCAAUAGCCGACCUGAGAGGGUGACCGGCCACAUUGGGACUGAGACACGGCCCAA